rnacentral:rRNA from 1 species
CCUAGUAACUGCGAGUGAAGAGGGAAAAGCUCAAAUUUAAAAUCUGGCAGCCUCGCUGUCCGAGUUGUAAUUUAGAGAAGUGUUACCCGCGCUGGACCGUGUAUAAGUCUCCUGGAAUGGAGCGUCAUAGAGGGUGAGAAUCCCGUCUUUGACACGGACUACCAGGGCAUUGUGGUGCGCUCUCGAAGAGUCGAGUUGUUUGGGAAUGCAGCUCUAAAUGGGUGGUAAAUUCCAUCUAAAGCUAAAUAUUGGCGAGAGACCGAUAGCGAACAAGUACCGUGAGGGAAAGAUGAAAAGAACUUUGGAAAGAGAGUUAAACAGUACGUGAAAUUGCUGAAAGGGAAACGCUUGAAGUCAGUCGCGUUGGCCGGGGAUCAGCCUUGCUUUUGUGAGGUGUACUUCCUGGUUGACGGGUCAGCAUCAGUUUCGACCACUGGAAAAAGGCUUAGGGAAUGUGGCACCUCCGGGUGUGUUAUAGCCCUUUGUCGUAUACAGUGGUUGGGACUGAGGAACUCAGCACGCCGCAAGGCCGGGUUUCGACCACGUUCGUGCUUAGGAUGCUGGCAAAAU